UACGAACCGAGCGAACGUUGUUCGGAAUCACUGGGCUUAAAGGGCGCGUAGGCGGGUGCUCAAGUCCGUGGUGAAAUCCUCCGGCUCAACCGGAGAACUGCCUCGGAUACUGGGCGUCUCGAGUGUGGUAGGGGUAUGCGGAACUAUCGGUGGAGCGGUGAAACGCGUUGAUAUCGAUAGGAACUCCGGUGGCGAAGGCGGCAUACUGGACCACCACUGACGCUGAUGCGCGAAAGCCAGGGGAGCAAACGGG
rnacentral:rRNA from 1 species